AGAAUCAACGCUGGCGGCGUGCCUAACACAUGCAAGUCGAACGCGAAAGCCCCGCAAGGGGCAAGUAGAGUGGCAAACGGGUGAGUAACACGUGGGUGACCUGCCUUCGAGUGGGGGAUAACGUCCCGAAAGGGACGCUAAUACCGCAUGACAUCCUGCUCUUGGACGAGCGGAGAUCAAAGCUGGGGAUCGCAAGACCUGGCGCUUGAAGAGGGGCCCGCGCCUGAUUAGCUAGUUGGUGAGGUAACGGCUCACCAAGGCAACGAUCAGUAUCCGGCCUGAGAGGGCGACGGGACACGACGUGGACUGAGACACGGCCCAGACUCCUACGGGAGCAGCAGUGGGAAUUGUCGCAAGUGGGCGCAAGCCGUAGACGACGCAACGCCGCGUGGAGGAUGAAGAUCGUUACGGGUCGUAAACUCCUGUCCGAGACGGAAGAACGUUUCGCGGUCU
rnacentral:rRNA from 1 species